AGUGAACGCUGGCGGUAGGCCUAACACAUGCAAGUCGAACGGCAGCACAGUAAGAGCUUGCUCUUACGGGUGGCGAGUGGCGGACGGGUGAGGAAUACAUCGGAAUCUACUUUUUCGUGGGGGAUAACGUAGGGAAACUUACGCUAAUACCGCAUACGAUCUACGGGUGAAAGCAGGGGAUCUUCGGACCUUGCGCGAUUGAUUGAGCCGAUGUCGGAUUAGCUAGUUGGCGGGGUAAAGGCCCACCAAGGCGACGAUCCGUAGCUGGCCUGAGAGGAUGAUCAGCCACACUGGAACUGAGACACGGUCCAGACUCCUACGGGAGGCAGCAGUGGGGAAUAUUGGACAAUGGGCGCAAGCCUGAUCCAGCCAUACCGCGUGGGUGAAGAAGGCCUUCGGGUUGUAAAGCCCUUUUGUUGGGAAAGAAAAGCAGCAGGAUAAUACCCCGCUGUUCUGACGGUACCCAAAGAAUAAGCACCGGCUAACUUCGUG
rnacentral:rRNA from 1 species